UACAGAGGUCUCAAGCGUUGUUCGGAUUCAUUGGGCGUAAAGGGUGCGUAGGCGGCGCGGUAAGUCGGGUGUGAAAUCUCGGAGCUUAACUCCGAAACUGCAUUCGAUACUGCCGUGCUUGAGGACUGGAGAGGAGACUGGAAUUUACGGUGUAGCGGUGGAAUGCGCAGAUAUCAGGAGGAACACCGGUGGCGAAGGCGGGGUCUCUGGGCAGUAACUGACGCUGAGGAGCGAAAGCGUGGGGAGCGAACAGG
rnacentral:rRNA from 1 species